rnacentral:lncRNA from 1 species
ACUGAAGAACAGAGUAGGAAAUGUAGAGAAGAGCUAAGGGUCAGGGAAAGUAUUACUUGGCUGGCACUAUAAGGAGUUGACAUUGGCCCCAGACUUGGAAAGUAUUUAAAGCCAGACUGUUUCUCAUUUGCAGGGUUUCUAGACACUCCUCCCUAUGCAGCUGGUCACCUACAGUUCCAUGACACAGGUGAUGCACCAUCUCCAUAUAAACUGACACCAUUGAAUCCUAGCUCCAAUUAAUCAAUCUGGAUGAAGAAGCAUUCAUUUUAAAAGGCAGAGUGGGAAGAUGGCGGAAGAGUAGGGUCCCCAAGUCACCUGUCCCCAACAAAUUACCUAGAUAACCUUCAAAUCAUCCUGAAAAUCUACUAAUUCGGCCUGAGAUUUAAAGAGAGACCAGCUGGAACGCUACAGUGAGAAGAGUUCGCGCUUCUAUCAGGUAGGAAGACGGAGA